UACGUAGGGUGCGAGCGUUGUCCGGAAUUAUUGGGCGUAAAGAGCUUGUAGGCGGUCUGUCGCGUCUGCUGUGAAAAUCUGGGGCUCAACCCCGGACUUGCAGUGGGUACGGGCAGACUAGAGUGAUGUAGGGGAGACUGGAAUUCCUGGUGUAGCGGUGAAAUGCGCAGAUAUCAGGAGGAACACCGAUGGCGAAGGCAGGUCUCUGGGCAUUAACUGACGCUGAGGAGCGAAAGCAUGGGGAGCGAACAGG
rnacentral:rRNA from 1 species